UUUUCCAUCUGUGUUGGUCGAAUUCCAGUUAAGAAACUUCCAUCCUGGCUGCUUUGAUCUUGUGCUCACCUUUCAAAGGCAUAAAAAGGUCUUCUUUUCCCUUUAUAUAAAAGUACUUCCAGCCAAUAUUUAAUAUGAAAGAGAUGUUUAUCAGACUUGGGAUGGGCAUAUUGAAGCUAUUCAGGGGUUGGGGCUUUCUUUGCUCAUUUCUUCUUUUUCUCAUACACACUCUGUUUUUUUCCUAUCAGCCUAGGUCCCUUGCCUAUACUUCCUGUUGUGAGUUUGCACACAGAGGGAGGUAGAGGUGGCAAUCAAUAAAGUUGUUAGUG
rnacentral:lncRNA from 1 species